AGAGACAGCAGUAGCCACGGGAAUACGUAGGUGGCAAGCGUUGUCCGGAAUUAUUGGGCGUAAAGGGAGCGCAGGCGGACAUAUAAGUCCAUCUUAAAAGUGCGGGGCUCAACCCCGUGAGGGGAUGGAAACUGUAUGCCUUGAGUGCAGGAGAGGAAAGCGGAAUUCCCAGUGUAGCGGUGAAAUGCGUAGAGAUGUGGAGGAACACCAGUGGCGAAGGCGACUCUCUGGUCUGUAACUGACGCUGAGGAGCGAAAGCGUGGGGAGCGAACAGGAUUAGAUACCCCAGUAGUCCCUGUCUCUUAUACA
rnacentral:rRNA from 1 species